ACUCCUACGGGAGGCAGCAGUGGGGAAUAUUGCACAAUGGGCGGAAGCCUGAUGCAGCAACGCCGCGUGCGGGAUGGCGGCCUUCGGGUUGUAAACCGCUUUCGCCUGUGACGAAGCGUGAGUGACGGUAAUGGGUAAAGAAGCACCGGCUAACUACGUGCCAGCAGCCGCGGUAAU
rnacentral:rRNA from 1 species